rnacentral:rRNA from 1 species
GAUGAACGCUGGCGGCGUGCCUAAUACAUGCAAGUCGAGCGGCCGCACGAGAAGCUCGUUCCUCUGCUGUUGGCGACGGACGGGCGGGUGACAAGUGCAUAACCUACCUAUACUUCUCGGCUAACUACGGGGGACCGGAGCUAAUACCGGCUAAUAUUUUGCACUUCAUGGUUCACAAGUUAAACACAGUCUUUCUGUCACUUAUAGAUGGAUCCGCGCUGCAUUAGUUAGGUGGUAAGGUAACGGCUCCCCCAGGCGACGAUGCAUAGCCGACGUGAGAGGAUGAUCGGCCACACUGGAACUGAGACACGGUCCAGACUCCUACGGGAGGCAGCAGUAGGGAAUCUUACGCAAUGGGCGGAAGCCUGACCGAGCAACGCCGCGUGGGUGAUGAAGGGCUUCGGAUCGUAAAACUCUGUUGUUAGGAAAGAACAUAAGUGUAAGUAACGGUGCGCAUUUUGACGGUACCUAAUCAAAAAGCCCCGGCUAACUACGUG